AGCCAUUUGUAAUGCAACUACUCAGCACCGCAAUGGAGGCAAUGUGGCAGCUGUGGCGAUGGCGGCAACAAGAGAAGCCGGAUUAACGGGAAUCAUGGCGGAGCAGACCAUAAACCUAGACACCAGCGACGGAGGGCAGCCCUCCGAAGCUCCCAACGAGCUCCAGGGAGAGGCCAGCUAGCCUUCAAAGGAUUUGCACCAGAGAGAAACUGUACAGCUGCGAUGAAUGUGGAUCACUAUCUACUCAAUCAGGCUCCUUGAGUCGCCAUCAGCAAAUCCAUAUGGAGGAAAGGUCUUCCAGCUGUGACCAGUGUGGGUCUGUGUUUACUCAGUCAGGUAGCCUAAAGACACAUAUGUGUAUUCACAGUGGAGAAGAACCAUACAG
ensembl:lncRNA